rnacentral:misc_RNA from 1 species
AAGUCGUAACAAGGUUUCCGUAGGUGAACCUGCGGAAGGAUCAUUAUCAAUGAUAUCCAUCAUACACCGUGAACUUAAUGAACUGACUUUGGGGAUGAUCUUAGAUCUCCCCAAAAUUUUAAACACUAUACUUUUAAGCAGAGUCAAUUAUGAAAAUAAUUUAGACAACUUUUAGCAACGGAUCUCUAGGUUCUC